rnacentral:rRNA from 1 species
UACGUAGGUGGCGAGCGUUGUCCGGAUUUACUGGGCGUAAAGGGAGCGUAGGCGGACUUUUAAGUGAGAUGUGAAAUACUCGGGCUCAACUUGAGUGCUGCAUUUCAAACUGGAAGUCUAGAGUGCAGGAGAGGAGAAUGGAAUUCCUAGUGUAGCGGUGAAAUGCGUAGAGAUUAGGAAGAACACCAGUGGCGAAGGCGAUUCUCUGGACUGUAACUGACGCUGAGGCUCGAAAGCGUGGGGAGCGAACAGG